GGUUGUGGCUCAGUGGUAGAGUGCUUGUCUAGCAUGCACGGGACUGGGUUCGAUCCUCAGCAUCA
rnacentral:tRNA from 1 species